rnacentral:rRNA from 1 species
GACGAACGCUGGCGGCGUGCCUAACACAUGCAAGUCGAACGGGACCCGCAAGGGUUCAGUGGCGAACGGGUGCGUAACACGUGAAGAAUCUGUCUAUCGGCGGGGGAUAGCCGGCCCAACGGCCGGGUAAUACCGCGUACGCUCGCGAGGGGGCGAUCCCCAUGCGAGGAAAGCAGCAAUGCACCGAUAGAGGACUUCGCGGCCUAUCAGCUAGUUGGCGGGGUAAUGGCCCACCAAGGCAACGACGGGUAGCUGGUCUGAGAGGAUGACCAGCCACAUUGGGACUGAGACACGGCCCAGACUCCUACGGGAGGCAGCAGUGGGGAAUAUUGCGCAAUGGGGGAAACCCUGACGCAGCGACGCCGCGUGUGGGAUGACGGCCUU